GAUGAACGCUAGCGGCAGGCUUAACACAUGCAAGUCGAGGGGUAUAGUUCUUCGGAAUUAGAGACCGGCGCACGGGUGCGUAACGCGUAUGCAAUCUACCUUUCACAGAGGGAUAGCCCCAGAGAAAUUUGGAUUAAUACCUCAUAGUAUAGCAGUUUCGCAUGAAACCACUAUUAAAGUCACAACGGUGAAAGAUGAGCAUGCGUCCCAUUAGCUAGUUGGUAAGGUAACGGCUUACCAAGGCAACGAUGGGUAGGGGUCCUGAGAGGGAGAUCCCCCACACUGGUACUGAGACACGGACCAGACUCCUACGGGAGGCAGCAGUGAGGAAUAUUGGACAAUGGGCGCAAGCCUGAUCCAGCCAUGCCGCGUGCAGGAAGAAGGUCCUAUGGAUUGUAAACUGCUUUUAUACAGGAAGAACACUCCCUCGUGAGGGAACUUGACGGUACUGUAUGAAUAAGGACCGGCUAACUCCGUGCCAGCAGCCGNGGUAA
rnacentral:rRNA from 1 species